AUACUUACCUGGACGGGGUCAAUGGGUGAUCAGGAAGACUCAUGGCCUAAGUUGGUGACCUCCAUUGCACUUAGGAGGGGUGCUAGCUUAAGGUCUCCCCAAGUGGGAGAGCCUACGUCAUAAUUUAUUGCAAUGGGGGCUUGCGUUCGCGCAGCCCCCGC
rnacentral:snRNA from 1 species